AGCGUACACGGUGGAUGCCCUGGCAGUCAGAGGCGAUGAAGGACGUGCUAUCUGCGAUAAGCGUCGGUAAGGUGAUAUGAACCGUUAUAACCGGCGAUUUCCGAAUGGGAAACCCAGUGUGAUUCGUCACACUAUCAUUAACUGAAUCCAUAGGUUAAUGAGGCGAACGGGGGAACUGAAACAUCUAAGUACCCCGAGGAAAAGAAAUCAACCGAGAUUCCCCCAGUGCGGCGAGCGAACGGGGAGCAGCCCAGAGCCUGAAUCAGUGUGUGUGUUAGUGGAAGCGCUGGAAAGGCGCGCGAUACAGGGUGACAGCCCCGUACACAAAAAUGCACAUGCUGUGAGUCGAUGAGUAGGGCGGGACACGUGGUAUCCUGUCUGAAUAUGGGGGGACCAUCCUCCAAGCUAAAUACUCCUGACUGACCGAUAGUGAACCAGUACCGUGAGGGAAAGGCGAAAAGAACCCGGCGAGGGGAGUGAAAAAGAACCUGAAACCGUGUACGUACAAGCAGUGGGAGCACAAGCAAUCUGUGUGACUGCGUACCUUUUGUAUAAUGGGUCAGCGACUUAUAUUCUGUAGCAGGUUAACCGAAUAGGGGAGCCGAAGGGAAACCGAGUCUUAACUGGGCGUUAAGUUGCAGGUAUAGACCCGAAACCCGGUGAUCUAGCCAUGGGCAGGUUGAAGGUUGGGUAACACUACUGGAGGACCGAACCGACUAAUGUUGAAAAAUUAGCGGAUGACUUGUGGCUGGGGGUGAAGGCCAAUCAAACCGGGAGAUAGCUGGUUCUCCCCGAAAGCUAUUUAGGUAGCGCCUCGGAAUUCAUCUCCGGGGGUAGAGCACUGUUUCGGCAAGGGGGUCAUCCCGACUUACCAACCGAUGCAAACUGCGAAUACCGGAGAAUGUUAUCACGGGAGACACACGGCGGGUGCUAACUCCGUCGUGAAGAGGGAAACAACCCAGACCGCCAGCUAAGGUCCCAAAGUCAUGGUUAAUGGGAAACGAUGUGGGAAGGCCCAGACAGCCAGGAUGUUGGCUUAGAAGCAGCCAUCAUUAAAGAAAGCGUAAUAGCUCACUGGUCGAGUCGGCCUGCGCGGAAGAUGUAACGGGGCUAACCAUGCACCGAAGCUGCGGCAGCGACGCUUAUGCGUUGUUGGGUAGGGGAGCGUUCUUAAGCCUGUGAAGGUGUACUGUGAGGUAUGCUGGAGGUAUCAGAAGUGCGAAUGCUGACUAAGUAACGAUAAAGCGGGUGAAAAGCCCGCUCGCCGGAAGACCAAGGGUUCCUGUCCACGUUAAUCGGGGCAGGGUGAGUCGACCCCUAAGGCGAGGCCGAAAGGCGUAGUCGAUGGAAACAGGUUAAUAUUCCUGUACUUGGUGUUACUGCGAAGGGGGGACGGAGAAGGCUAUGUGGCCGGGCGACGGUUGUCCCGGUUUAAGCGUGUAGGCUGGUUUUCCAGGCAAAUCCGGAAACUAAGGCUGAGGCGUGAUGACGAGGCACUACGGUGCUGAAGCAACAAAUGCCCUGCUCCAGGAAAAGCCUCUAAGCAUCAGGUAACAUCAAAUCGUACCCCAAACCGACACAGGUGUCAGGUAGAGAAUACCAAGGCGCUUGAGAGAACUCGGGUGAAGGAACUAGGCAAAAUGUGCCGUAACUUCGGGAGAAGGCACGCUGAUAUGUAGGUGAAGUCCCUCGCGGAUGGAGCGAAAUCAGUCGAAGAUACCAGCUGGCUGCAACUGUUUAUUAAAAACACAGCACUGUGCAACACGAAAGUGGACGUAUACGGUGUGACGCCUGCCCGGUGCCGGAAGGUUAAUUGAUGGGUUAGCGCAAGCGAAGCUCUUGAUCGAAGCCCCGGUAAACGGCGGCCGUAACUAUAACGUCCUAAGGUAGCGAAAUUCCUUGUCGGGUAAGUUCCGACCUGCACGAAUGGCGUAAUGAGGCCAGGCUGUCUCCACCCGAGACUCAGUGAAAUUGAACUCGCUGUGAAGAUGCAGUGUCCCGCGGCAAGACGGAAAGACCCCGUGAACCUUUACUAUAGCUUGACACUGAACAUUGACCUUGAUGUGUAGGAUAGGUGGGAGGCUUUGAAGUGUGGACGCCAGUCUGCAUGGAGCCACCUUGAAAUACCACCCUUUAAUGUUUGAUGUUCUAACGUUGACCCGUAAUCCGGGUUGGGACAGUGUCUGGUGGGUAGUUUGACUGGGGCGGUCUCCUCCUAAAGAGUAACGGAGGACACGAAGGUUGGCUAAUCCUGGUCGGACAUCAGGAGGUUAGUGCAAUGGCAUAAGCCAGUUGACUGCGAGCGUGACGGCGCGAGCAGGUGCGAAAGCAGGUCAUAGUGAUCCGGUGGUCUGAAUGGAAGGGCCAUCGCUCAACGGAUAAAAGGUACUCCGGGGAUAACAGGCUGAUACGCCCAAGAGUUCAUAUCGACGGCGGUGUUUGGCACCUCGAUGUCGGCUCAUCACAUCCGGGGCUGAAGUAGGUCCCAAGGGUAUGGCUGUUCGCCAUUUAAAGUGGUACGCGAGCUGGUUUAGAACGUCGUGAGACAGUUCGGUCCCUAUCUGCCGUGGGCGCUGGAGAACUGAGGGGGCUGCUCCUAGUACGAGAGGACCGGAGUGGACGCAUCACUGGUGUUCGGGUUGUCAUCCAAUGGCACUGCCCGGUAGCUAAAUGCGGAAGAGAUAAGUGCUGAAAGCAUCUAAGCAGAAACUUGCCCCGAGAUGAGUUCUCCCUGACUCCUUGA
rnacentral:rRNA from 1 species